rnacentral:rRNA from 1 species
CCCUUCGAUGUCCUGGGCCGCACGCGCGCUACACUGAUGCAUGCAACGAGUUUAUAACCUUGGCCUGAAAGGUCUGGGUAAUCUUUUGAACGUGCAUCGUGAUAGGGAUAGAUUAUUGCAAUUGUUAAUCUUGAACGAGGAAUUCCUAGUAAACGCGAGUCAUCAGCUCGCAUUGAUUACGUCCCUGCCCUUUGUACACACCGCCCGUCGCACCUACCGAUUGAAUGGUUCGGUGAAGAUCUCGGACUUCGAUAUUUAUUCUUUAUUGAGUUUAUAUUGUGGGAAGUUAUCUAAACCUCAUCAUUUAGAGGAAGGUGAAGUCGUAACA